GGCGCCCUCUAGCUUUCUGGAGGAAUCGAACAAUUCUGAAGAGAGUGUUUGACCGCCACGUUCAUCGUGUCGUAUCAUUUAGUAGAAAUUAACAUGAAGAGUAACUCGUUUUAAAAUCAAAAUAAAUAAAAUGGACGUAAUUUACUGAAGCCUGGUCCUGUCAGAACAGGAGUUAAUAGCUAAAGUAACUGUUAAGUUAAAAAUAUGGUGGGCCAUCAGUUUUUUCUUGGAAUCAAACAUAUGGACUGCGUCUGAAAUCGCAUAUAAGUUGCAGCAGUGUUCAGCCAGCCAAC
ensembl:lncRNA